UUCUAUCUCUCUAAGUUUUCUAAAAAGUUGAAGAAGGGAGAAGAAAUGAAAGUGCAAAAGAAAUGAGGAGAAAUGAGCUCUUUAGAUAGGCUUGGGAGGAGCUCUGGAUGUUAGCAACGUGGCAACCAUCCACCGGGACACAUAGCGGGUAGGUGGAAAGCAAGCUGCCGGUGGACGGGACAAGUUCGCAUGGCUUGGGUGUCUGCGCUAUGACAACGUGUAGUACAUGCGUGCAUAGCGUGCAGGUAUAGGCAUGGCAUGCAUGCCAGCGCGUGUAAUGCAUGGGCGUGCAUGCAUAGUGCUGUGCCCAUGCGUUGGCGUGUUGGCAUGUGAGCAUAGUGCCACGUGCAGGCAAUUGUCACACGUAAGGCCUGUGUGAU
rnacentral:lncRNA from 1 species